rnacentral:tRNA from 1 species
GGUUUUAUAUUGUAGCGGUUAGCAUGUCUGCUUUACAAGCACAAAGUCCUGGGUUUGUGCCCCAGUGGAGCCA